CCAAUGUGCCCUUAUCCCAUAGGUACCACACUGUGCCCUUAUCCCAUAGGUACCCACUGUGCCCUUAUCCCAUAGGUACCACACUGUGCCCUUAUCCCAUAGGACCCCAUACCAUCCCCUUAUCCCAUAGGACCCCAUACCAUCCCCUUAUCCCACAGGUCCCCAAACUGUCCCCUAUAUCCCAUAGGUCCCCACACUGUCCCCUAUAUCCCAUAGGGCCCCACACUGUGCCCUUAUCCCAUAGGUCCCCAUACUGUGCCCUUAUCCCAUAGGACCCCAUACCAUCCCCUAUAUCCCAUAGGGCCCCACACUGUGCCCUUAUCCCAUAGGUCCCCACACCGUCCCCUUAUCCCAUAGGUCCCCACACUGUCCCCUAUAUCCCACAGGUCCCCAAACUGUCCCCUAUAUCCCAUAGGUCCCCACACUGUCCCCUAUAUCCCAUAGGUCCCCACACCGAACCCUUAUCCCA
rnacentral:lncRNA from 1 species